GUGGGGAAUAUUGGACAAUGGGCGAAAGCCUGAUCCAGCCAUGCCGCGUGUGUGAAGAAGGUCUUCGGAUUGUAAAGCACUUUAAGUUGGGAGGAAGGGCAGUAAGUUAAUACCUUGCUGUUUUGACGUUACCGACAGAAUAAGCACCGGCUAACUUCGUGCCAGCAGCCGCGGUAAUACGAAGGGUGCAAGCGUUAAUCGGAAUUACUGGGCGUAAAGCGCGCGUAGGUGGUUUUGUAAGUUGGAGGUGAAAUCCCCGGGCUCAACCUGGGAACUGCCUCCAAAACUACUGAGCUAGAGUACGGUAGAGGGUAGUGGAAUUUCCUGUGUAGCGGUGAAAUGCGUAGAUAUAGGAAGGAACACCAGUGGCGAAGGCGACUACCUGGACUGAUACUGACACUGAGGUGCGAAAGCGUGGGGAGCAAACAGGAUUAGAUACCCUUGUAGUCC
rnacentral:rRNA from 1 species